AAAAUUGAGAAAAUGCAGACAAAACAGUAAAAGGAGAUCAUAAAGACAGAGUUGAAGGGGGAGAGAAACCAAAGGAAAAGGAAACCCUCCUUGGUGGCUGAGACGGAGAGGAAUUAACAGAGUCGCGGACUUUUUUUGUUUGAAUCUGUAUUUAUUUCGUUUGAACAGAUCCAAUGGCUGAUGAACAAAUAGAUUAUGAGGAUGAGGAAUAUGGUGGAGCUCCGAAGACGCAAUAUCAGGGAAGUGGUGCCAUACCUGCACUUGCAGAGGAAGAGAUGGGGGAAGAUGACGAGUACGAUGAUCUCUACAAUGAUGUGAAUAUUGGAGAGAACUUCCUACAGAUGCACCGAUCUGAGGUUCCACCACCACCUGCUAGUGUGGGUAAGGGAGGGUUCCAAGCUCAGAAUGUUAAUGGUUCAAGAGUUGAAACUAGUGGUUCACAAGGACUAAAUGAUCCCGGGGUUGCCAUUGAAGGGAAAUAUUCUAAUGCUGGGACACAUUUUGAUGAGCAGAAAGAAUCUUCCAUGGGUGUUAAGGGGCCAGAAACGCGACCUGUUGGUUACCCAGAUGGUUCUUCUGUUGCGCAAAAAGGAAGGGUUAUGGAGAUGACCCGUGAUUCUGAAGGCCAAAAUAUGGGGUUCCAAGGAUUGACAUCAGUGCCCUCCAAUAUUGGGACUGAUCCUUCUGAUAUGAGUAGAAAAAUUGCCAGUGAGCCUGCAACUUUGCCAAACUCUAGCGCCAGUGGUCCUCGAGUCAUUCAGCAGUUGCCAGCUAAUCAAAUGAGUAUGAAUAUGGACGUCAAUCAUCCUGUGAUGAAUGAAAAUCAAAUCCAUCCACCAAUAGAUAAUGGUCCAACCAUGCUGUUUGUGGGAGAAUUACAUUGGUGGACAACUGAUGCAGAGCUUGAGAGCGUUUUAUCUCAGUAUGGAAGGGUCAAGGAGAUAAAGUUUUUUGAUGAAAGAGCUAGUGGAAAAUCUAAGGGGUACUGUCAAGUUGAAUUUUAUGAUGCAGCAGCUGCGGCUGCAUGCAAAGAGGGAAUGAAUGGGCAUGUUUUAAAUGGUCGUGCUUGUGUUGUGGCCUUUGCUUCUCCACAAACAUUAAAGCAGAUGGGGGCUUCUUACAUGAACAAAAACCAGAAUCAACCUCAGUCACAAAAUCAGGGAAGAAGGCCUAUGAAUGAUGGUGCGGGCAGAGGUGGUAAUAUGAAUUAUCAAGGGGGAGAUGCGGGGAGGAAUUAUGGAAGAGGUGGGUGGGGACGAGGUGGGCAAGGAGUUCUCAAUAGAGGGCCUGGGGGUGGAGGACCAAUGAGGGGCAGAGGAACCAUGGGUGCCAAGAACAUGGUUGGAGGUACUGGCGGAUUAGGAAGCGGUGCCAAUGGAGGAGGCUAUGGACAAGGCAUAGCAGGUCCUGCUUUUGGUGGACCUGCUGGUGGUAUGAUGCCUCCACAGGGUAUGAUGGGAGCUGGAUUUGAUCCAACAUAUAUGGCUCGUGGGGCUGGUUACGGAGGAUUUGCAGGUCCCGGUUUUCCUGGCAUGCUUCCUUCAUUUCCAGCUGUUAAUACAAUGGGAUUUGCUGGGGUGGCUCCUCAUGUCAACCCAGCAUUCUUUGGUCGGGGAAUGGCACCUAAUGGUAUGGGAAUGAUGGGCCCAGGAAUGGAUGGGCCUAAUGCUGGAAUGUGGUCUGACACUAGCAUGGGUGGAUGGGGAGAAGAGCCUGGCCGAAGAACAAGGGAGUCAAGUUAUGGUGGUGAAGAUGGGGCUUCUGAAUAUGGCUAUGGAGAGGUCAAUCAUGAAAAAGGAGCACGGUCAAGUGCUGUUUCUAGGGAAAAGGAACGGGUUUCUGAGCGUGAUUGGUCGGGGAAUUCUGAUAGGAGGCAUCGUGACGAGAGGGAGCAUGACUGGGACAAAUCUGAAAGAGAGCACAGGGAACAUAGGUACCGGGACGAAAAAGAUAGUUACCGAGAUCAUCGACAAAGAGGGCGUGACGCUGGUUAUGAGGAUGACUGGGAUAGAGGGCAAUCCUCUUCAAGAUCUCAAAGCAGGUCCCGAGCAGUGCCUGAAGAAGAUUACAGGUCUCGAUCAAGGGAUGCAGAUUAUGGCAAGAGGAGGCGCCUACCAUCAGAAUGACAUAACCAUUCUGUUCAUCUUUCUUGGACAGGUUUACAAGGCCUCAUCAUUUAUAUGUGCACUCUUGGUUCCAUUGGCCUUAUAUGCUGCAUACCAUUGUUUGCACUGGCUGCUUUGACCCGAAAUGCAGGGGGUGACUUCUUGAGGGAAGAAGGAGUGGAGUGGGCAACUCUAUGUUUUCAUGAUUGAAUCUAUCUGUAUUAGUUGCCUGGAGGAAGAAGUGUUAGAUGAGCUGCCUCCACUGGAUCUCUUCCUUAAUGGUUUAGAUCUGCCAAGUUUGCAAAAGAAGCCUUGACCAUUGUGGCUUUCACCUUUUUCCCACAAGCUCCAAUUAAGAAUCUGUAAAUAAUGGUCUUGUUAGAAUAUGUCUAGAAAGAUUUGUAUUCGUGGAGCUGUAAAAUAAGGAAGAGAUGUCAGUGUUAAGUUUUGGCAUAUAAACAUGAUUAUUUCAUGUAAACGAAUAGGUUUAUUAGGUCCAAAUCAUGUAAUGGCCUGCUCCAUUGUUUCUUUGAUCAUUUUCUGGUUAAAAAGCUUUGUAUCAAUUGUGAGGCCUAUAUUUGUGGUUUUGUACAUAUUCAAUGUCUUGUAAUUCAUCUUGCUGUAUCUCUGUAUAAGUUAGAUGUGACAGAGAUGAGUGAAUAAUACUUUGUAAUGAUGGGUAGAUGUCCCCACUGUAUUUUGGUCACUGUAAUGCUUAUAAAACCCAAUUUCUAAGGUCGUACUCCCUGAAAAGCUGAAGUGAUUUCAUAAGUUUCAUCCUCAUGAUGUUUGAGGUGGUGUGCCUCAGCCCUCAGGUUUAGGAGCUAUAAGCAUGCUGCAAUAUUGUGGAUGUGGAGGGACCCAACAAAAUGCUUUUUGUGUAUUCUCUCUUCCUCUUUUUUGAGGAUCAAGUAUAGGUUCCUCAUGUAUUGUUGUUCUUGAUGAGAUUUUGUUGUUCAAGUCAGUUUUUCUUGUUUGUACAUUGGGAUGUAGCUUUUCUUAUGCAAUGUACCAUUUUAGUCUUCAGUAUU